UACGUAGGGGGCAAGCGUUGUCCGGAUUUAUUGGGCGUAAAGAGCGUGUAGGCGGCUAGGUAGGUCCGUUGUGAAAACUCGAGGCUCAACCUCGAGACGCCGAUGGAAACCAUCUAGCUAGAGUCCGGAAGAGGAGAGUGGAAUUCCUGGUGUAGCGGUGAAAUGCGCAGAUAUCGGGAAGAACACCCGUGGCUAAGGCGGCUCUCUAGUACGGUACUGACGCUGAGACGCGAAAGCGUGGGGAGCGAACAGG
rnacentral:rRNA from 1 species